rnacentral:rRNA from 1 species
UGGAAGUAAAAAGUCGUAACAAGGUCUCCGUUGGUGAACCAGCGGAGGGAUCAUUACCGAGUUUACAACUCCCAAACCCCUGUGAACAUACCAAUUGUUGCCUCGGCGGAUCAGCCCGCUCCCGGUAAAACGGGACGGCCCGCCAGAGGACCCCCAAACUCUGUUUCUAUAUGUAACUUCUGAGUAAAACCAUAAAUAAAUCAAAACUUUCAACAACGGAUCUCUUGGUUCUGGCAUCGAUGAAGAACGCAGCAAAAUGCGAUAAGUAAUGUGAAUUGCAGAAUUCAGUGAAUCAUCGAAUCUUUGAACGCACAUUGCGCCCGCCAGUAUUCUGGCGGGCAUGCCUGUUCGAGCGUCAUUUCAACCCUCAAGCCCGGCUUGGUGUUGGGACUCGCGAGUCAAACCGCGUUCCCCAAAUUGAUUGGCGGUCACGUCGAGCUUCCAUAGCGUAGUAGUAAAACCCUCGUUACUGGUAAUCGUCGCGGCCACGCCGUUAAACCCCAACUUCUGAAUGUUGACCUCGGAUCAGGUAGGAAUACCCGCUGAACUUAAGCAUAUCAA